rnacentral:rRNA from 1 species
UACGUAGGGGGCGAGCGUUGUCCGGAAUUAUUGGGCGUAAAGGGUUCGCAGGCGGUCUGAUAAGUCAGAUGUGAAAGGCGUAGGCUUAACCUAUGUAAGCAUUUGAAACUGUCAGACUUGAGUUAAGGAGAGGAAAGUGGAAUUCCUAGUGUAGCGGUGAAAUGCGUAGAUAUUAGGAGGAAUACCAGUGGCGAAGGCGACUUUCUGGACUUAUACUGACGCUGAGGAACGAAAGCGUGGGGAGCAAACAGG